rnacentral:lncRNA from 1 species
GCUUUGGGACUUUGACAUCGAGCAACAUUUGAUAAUGCUCUUUGUCGCUCUCGAGCACAACGAUAUUUUUAUUCGAAGAAAGAUCAGGAGCAGUCCAAACGGUGUGAAACCCCAAUGGAUGGUUAGAGGAGACAAAAAAAAAUCUAUUCUUCCAUCCAUGCAUGGAAGAUAAAAGCUCGAUAAUAAAUUGACAACGGUAUCGA